rnacentral:rRNA from 1 species
GAUGAACGCUGGCGGCGUGCCUAAUACAUGCAAGUCGAGCGAACAGAUGAGGAGCUUGCUCCUCUGACGUUAGCGGCGGACGGGUGAGUAACACGUGGAUAACCUACCUAUAAGACUGGGAUAACUUCGGGAAACCGGAGCUAAUACCGGAUAAUAUAUUGAACCGCAUGGUUCAAUAGUGAAAGACGGUUUUGCUGUCACUUAUAGAUGGAUCCGCGCCGCAUUAGCUAGUUGGUAAGGUAACGGCUUACCAAGGCAACGAUGCGUAGCCGACCUGAGAGGGUGAUCGGCCACACUGGGACUGAGACACGGUCCAGACUCCUACGGGAGGCAGCAGUAGGGAAUCUUCCGCAAAGGGCGAAAGCCUGACGGAGCAACGCCGCGUGAGUGAUGAAGGUCUUCGGAUCGUAAAACUCUGUUAUUAGGGAAGAACAAAUGUGUAAGUAACUAUGCACGUCUUGACGGUACCUAAUCAGAAAGCCACGGCUAACUACGUG